rnacentral:rRNA from 1 species
GCUUAACGUUGCGCGUGCAGUGGGUACGGGCUGACUAGAGUGCAGUAGGGGAGUCUGGAAUUCCUGGUGUAGCGGUGAAAUGCGCAGAUAUCAGGAGGAACACCGGUGGCGAAGGCGGGACUCUGGGCUGUAACUGACACUGAGGAGCGAAAGCAUGGGGAGCGAACAGGAUUAGAUACCCUGGUAGUCCAUGCCGUAAACGUUGGGCACUAGGUGUGGGGGACAUUCCACGUUCUCCGCGCCGUAGCUAACGCAUUAAGUGCCCCGCCUGGGGAGUACGGUCGCAAGGCUAAAACUCAAAGGAAUUGACGGGGGCCCGCACAAGCGGCGGAGCAUGCGGAUUAAUUCGAUGCAACGCGAAGAACCUUACCAAGGCUUGAUAUACACUGGACCGUUCUGGAAACAGUUCUUCUCUUUGGAGCUGGUGUACAGGUGGUGCAUGGUUGUCGUCAGCUCGUGUCGUGAGAUGUUGGGUUAAGUCCCGCAACGAGCGCAACCCUCGUUCUAUGUUGCCAGCACGUGAUGGUGGGAACUCAUAGGAGACUGCCGGGGUCAACUCGGAGGAAGGUGGGGAUGACGUCAAAUCAUCAUGCCCUUUAUGUCUUGGGCUUCACGCAUGCUACAAUGGCUGGUACAGAG